GUUGUGAGUGAGAUGGUCGAACUGUGGGCUCCAGAGCAUCCAGGGUGGGUUGCUGGGAGGCAGCCAUGGAGAAUCAAACUGUUGAAGAUGCAGUCAUGAAGUAACACUAAUGCCAGGGUUUUGUCCUUCCUCUUAAAACUGACUUAUAGGGCUGGUGGGCUGGCUGCUGAAACGAUAGGGCUAAUCAUGGGCACAUCCAGUUGUGGCAGUUUUCCCCAGACUUUGCUUUUGGGAAAUGAUGAAACAAGCAGGCAAAUGGGUUAAUGGGCAUCUCUACAUUGCACCAAGCCUUUUACAUUCUUGAGUUUACCUUCCUUGCUUUAGUAAUCAUAGGAAGUGUCACCAUUACACCCGCUGCUUCCCAGGGAGAAUUUCACCAUGUCAUCUUAGAUCUUCUUCCACGUAUUCAUUCAUGGAUGAGGAGGGAGGAUGAUACCUGCUUUGUUUAGCCACUGCAGAGCCAUGAUUUCACUGUGCUGGCAUAUUGAGUUGCAGUCAUGUGUCACAGAUCUUUUUGCUUGUCACCUCCCAUGUUCUCGCUGCUCAUUGUCACUUUGAAAUUAAUUCAUGCCAAAUUAUUUACUCCACCCAGUGUUCUUCUGCUCACCUGGUGCUUCCUUUGGGGAGAGGAUGGAGAGGGGAAAAACAAACCCAACAGCUGUUCCCUAAACCGGAGAUUGUGACAAGAAGAGGAAACAGCACAGCAUAAGCGAUCUCUCCUGAUAAAGAUCUUGUGAGCAGAGAAGAGCAGAGGAAGUGGGACACGUGUGACGAUGAUUCCUAUGACGAUGCAUCAUCUAUAGGAUUGCCUUAAGGGUGAUAGAGGUCCACCUGUACUGCAGCCGUAAUCCAUCCAGCAGUGCACAGAUACCAAAUCCCAAAGCAUGGAGUGAGGUGGAGCCUCCUAUGAAGGCAGCAGCCUCUCCAGAUAUCCUGCCAAGCUGAGCUUGGACUUUGCGGGUGAGUGGACAGCUGCAUUUCCUCCUGUAAUUGGGACACCCACCUGUGUAGAAGCACAUGCCCUUCCUGUGCAACAACUGUUGUGUUGGCUGUUGGGGUUUUGCAGCCAUGUUGGAUUUCAAAGCAGCAGUGGUGGUGGUGGUUGUUUUU